rnacentral:SRP_RNA from 1 species
AUUGGGUGUCGCGCUUCGACACGCAAGCUGGCUUUGU